rnacentral:lncRNA from 1 species
AAUAUUACAGGCAAAAGUUUAAAAGAUAAAAUUAUAGAUAUUUAGAGAGUAGAAAAUAAAAUAAUCUUGAUAAUUAAUAGUAUGAGAGGAGUUCCAUUAAAAUAAUUUGUACUUAUGCACAUCAAGUAGGAUUAAAUAAUCCCACAAACUAAAAUUUUUGGGAGGACAUGGAUGGACUAAUUCAAGAGAAUUCUAGUGGAGAAAAGAUAUUUAUCAGAAA